rnacentral:misc_RNA from 1 species
CCAUGGCGCAGAAGGUGGUGGAACAUACUGGGUAACCCCAGGAGUUAAUCCCUUCACGCUCUUCUACCCUUGUCUAUUUGCACCUUUGUCGUUCCCAUCGGCGGGUCUUGAACCUGCCGGCGGCAACUUUCAAAACCUCUUGCAGUAGUAUCUAAUUCUUCUGAUUCAAUAUCAAAUUAUUA